ACUGCUGGGUGUGGGACUAGAGUGAUAAAGCAAAGACUCCCCAGCCACUAGGGUGAGAAGGGGUGGAACCUGAUUCUUCUCCCCAGGACUUCAGGUUCUUUGCUUUUCUGCAACCAAUUCUGUAGAUUCACUGCGUUCACUCUCUUACAAAUCAAUGUCACGAGUGAAGACAACAGAUGUGCCAUUAUCUCAGGAAUUGCGGUUCUUUCUGAAAAAUGUGCUGUAUACCAACGCUAUAUCUGCCAAAAGAAGCUGAAACCUUUCUAAAAUCCCGUGCCCUAACUCCCGGUUGUGAAUGUCAUCUCUGUUCCCUUACACUUCACCCCAAAUCUCUGCAUACUAUUUGUCAAUGGUGUGGGCCUUUCCUGUGCAUGGUUAGUGGCAUUCUGAGAGAGGUGUUCUAUAGAAGGAAACCCAGACCAGUAGACAGCACUGGAGGCCUUAUGUAGCAUUUGCUGAAUUCUCUGCUUGAGUUCAUCUGCAAACAGCUGCAGAAAACUGUUUUCAAUGUUCUCAUCUUUACCUCUACCCAACUUCAAGCUAUCUGACAUCUCGGCUAUAGAACCAUAAUUAAAAUCCUUGCUUUUGCCUUGA